GUUUGAACCCGUGAGGCUGAGGUUGUGGUGAGCCAAGAUCGUGCCAUUAUGGUCUAGCCUGGGCAACAAGAGCAAAAUUCCUUCUCAAAAAGUAAAACAAAACCAAAGAUCUAAGGAAGCAACGGGUCCAAGAAUAGGGAACAACAGGUCCAAAGGCCCUGAGGUAUGAGCCAGCUUAGCUGCUAUGUGUGUGCAUUUGUGUUUUGUUUUCCUUGUUCUUAAUUUUCUAAUUUAUUUCUAUUUUAGAGUACCAACACUUAUUUUAUCAUUAUUUUACUGCCUAUAUACUUUGUGCCCAUUGUCUUCGAUCCAUUAUGAAAUGAAGCAAGCCAGUUUAAAGAUCAAAUGGUUUUAACAGGAUACUAGUCUUCAUAUGCAGCUCUGUAGCAUUCUGCAACAAUUUUUUUUAAUCUAGAAGAAUUUAAAUUAAUUAUAUAUGUGGCCAGAAUUACGCAUCAUUGUUCUAACCUUAACUCAAAUCAAAUGUCCCAAAGUUAUCUAUAAGUUUAGAUAUUAGCUCAAUAUUUUUAACUAGGAAGAUCUCCCCAAAAAACUGUCUGUUCAAGUACUUAUGGCUUCAGGCAGAGAAGGGCUCUUCAGGCAGUCUUGGCGCCAUCACCCUGGUGAUGAGUGAGUUCU
rnacentral:lncRNA from 1 species